rnacentral:rRNA from 1 species
AGUUGGUGGAUUGAUUUGUCUGGUUUAUUCCGAUAACGAACGAGACUCCAUCCUACUAAAUAGUGGCGAGAUCAUUGUGUCUCUGUCACUUCUUAGAGGGACAAGCGGUGUUCAGCCGCAUGAAAAGGAGCAAUAACAGGU